rnacentral:rRNA from 1 species
AUACGGAGGGUGCAAGCGUUAUCCGGAUUUAUUGGGUUUAAAGGGUGCGCAGGCGGACAUAUAAGUCAGUGGUGAAAUCCCGGGGCUCAACCCCGGAACUGCCAUUGAUACUGUAUGUCUUGAAUACGGUUGAAGUAGGCGGAAUGUAGCAUGUAGCGGUGAAAUGCAUAGAUAUGCUACAGAACACCGAUCGCGAAGGCAGCUUACUAAGCCGAUAUUGACGCUCAGGCACGAAAGCGUGGGGAGCGAACAGGAUUAGAAACCCCGGUAGUCC